UACGUAGGGGGCUAGCGUUGUCCGGAAUCAUUGGGCGUAAAGCGCGUGUAGGCGGUCCGGUAAGUCCGCUGUGAAAGUCGAGGGCUCAACCCUCGAAUGCCGGUGGAUACUGUCGGGCUAGAGUGCGGAAGAGGCGAGUGGAAUUCCUGGUGUAGCGGUGAAAUGCGCAGAUAUCAGGAGGAACACCUAUUGCGAAGGCAGCUCGCUGGGACGUUACUGACGCUGAGACGCGAAAGCCAGGGGAGCAAACGGG
rnacentral:rRNA from 1 species